rnacentral:rRNA from 1 species
GAUGAACGCUGGCGGCGUGCCUAAUACAUGCAAGUCGAGCGAACAGACGAGGAGCUUGCUCCUCUGACGUUAGCGGCGGACGGGUGAGUAACACGUGGAUAACCUACCUAUAAGACUGGGAUAACUUCGGGAAACCGGAGCUAAUACCGGAUAACAUGUUGAACCGCAUGGUACAACAGUGAAAGACGGUCUUGCUGUCACUUAUAGAUGGAUCCGCGCUGCAUUAGCUAGUUGGUAAGGUAACGGCUUACCAAGGCAACGAUGCGUAGCCGACCUGAGAGGGUGAUCGGCCACACUGGAACUGAGACACGGUCCAGACUCCUACGGGAGGCAGCAGUAGGGAAUCUUCCGCAAUGGGCGAAAGCCUGACGGAGCAACGCCGCGUGAGUGAAGAAGGUCUUCGGAUCGUAAAACUCUGUUAUUAGGGAAGAACAAAUGUGUAAGUAACUAUGCACGUCUUGACGGUACCUAAUCAGAAAGCCACGGCUAACUACGUG